GCGGUGGAGCGGAGCGGAACAGCCCGGCCCUGGCCUCGGUCUCGGCCUCUCAGCGGUUCACCCUGCCCGCCGGCGGCUCAGGAGGAGCUGUCAAGCAGGAGAACUUUGUGCUGAGCACAUCGGGGAGAUUUCGCCCUGAGGAAAAAGAAACAAAGGACCCCGUUGCUACCGAAGACGAGCUGCUGUCAGGACGCCGGCUCUUGAGGGUGUCUGAGUACCGGCAGACAUUUGUGACCUGCACUGGUAUCUCCUAGUGACCCCCGUUAGGCCAAAUUAGGAGGCGGUGGGUUUUAGAACAUGGUUUGCGCUCCCUCUCUUGCCGUAGCAGGCAGGAGGUGCUGUCUCUAGCCGACUGUCGUGGAGUAGCAUCAGUUUUUGCUGAUGACUUGCUGCGUUUGGUGUUGUCCUUACUUUCUCUGCGUCCGACUGAGCCAAUGUCACAAUUUUUCAAGCAUUCUUGUGUCCUCUUCUGCUCUGUGCCCCCACAGAAACCUGAAUGUAGGUGUCUUAAAGGGCACGAGCUUGAUACCUGUGCUGCAUAGCCCUAGAUGCGAGCUAUCUGCUCUGUACCCUGUAACAAGUGGUUUAAUUGCUCUGCUUUUUCUCCCAAAUUUGGGUGGAUUGAGGUCGAGUAUCUUAUUCUAAAUCAGUGUUUGUCAGCUUAAUCAGGUAUGUCCUCCUUGUUACAACUCCCCUGUCCUUUUUCAAGAGAGAUGCACCUUAUUAGGACAAAAUGUCCUAUUCUAGGAGCAUUGACAGCCUUUAAAACGGGUGUUUUGCUUGUUUUGUUGUGUAACACACCCUCCCACCCCACACUUUGCCUCUGCACAUUGAUCUUGGCUGCUGACAAAAACCAGUCUCUGUAUGCCCAAAUGCCUUCAGUAAAGACUCUACAGUGGUA